AACGCGAAGAACCUUACCAACCCUUGACAUCCCAGGACACGAGAGAUCGGGUCUCCACUUGGUGGCCGGAGACAGGUGCUGCAUGGCUGUCGUCAGCUCGUGUCGUGAGAUGUUCGGUUAAGUCCGGCAACGAGCGCAACCCACACUCUCAGUUGCCAUCAUUCAGUUGGGCACUCUGGAAGAACUGCCGAUGAUAAGUCGGAGGAAGGUGUGGAUGACGUCAAGUCCUCAUGGCCCUUACGGGUUGGGCUACACACGUGCUACAAUGGUGGUGACAGUGGGUUAAUCCCCAAAAGCCAUUCAGUUCGGAUUGGGGUCUGCAACUCGACCCCAUGAAGUGGAAUCGCUAGUAAUCCG
rnacentral:rRNA from 1 species